UACGGAGGAUGCGAGCGUUAUCCGGAUUUAUUGGGUUUAAAGGGUGCGUAGGCGGCCUGCCAAGUCAGCGGUAAAAUUGCGGGGCUCAACCCCGUAUAGCCGUUGAAACUGCCGGGCUCGAGUGGGCGAGAAGUAUGCGGAAUGCGUGGUGUAGCGGUGAAAUGCAUAGAUAUCACGCAGAACCCCGAUUGCGAAGGCAGCAUACCGGCGCCCUACUGACGCUGAGGCACGAAAGUGCGGGGAUCGAACAGG
rnacentral:rRNA from 1 species